GCUCAUCUUCAAAUUUUGACACAGCCCCCAAGAAAGAAAGAAAAAAAAAAAUUUGUUAGCUCGACCACCCAUAAUUAACUCUUUUGUCUUAUCAAAACUCUUAUAAUAGGUAUUUCUAUCUAUUACAACAAAUGGAUGGAGGCUUGGGAACAAUGUUAAUGAAGGUGGCCUUAUUUGCUCUGGUUCAAGCUUUGGUGUAUCUCAUCCUCUCAAAAUCGUCCACUGUUUAAACAGGGUCUAAAUGGGUAGAUCCGUUUAAACCCACGGUGUAACGGGGCUUGAUCUAAAGUAAACGGGUAGCCGUUAAAAGAAAUGAUAACUUUAUUUUACCAAAACACUGCCAUUUAUGACUAGGGUUUUCAAAACAUCUAUCUUCUCCGAAUCUCUCGCUGCAAAUGCCUCUGAACUUCAACGUCUUCUCCUCUAAUAAACUCACCAACACUCUGCUUCAGCCUCCGAGCCUCUUUGUCUCUUCCUCCAUUAUCGCCGUUUUGAUUCUUAAAGUUUGGCACAUAGCCACCGUAGGGAUACAAUUAGGAGGCUGUGUGAAAGUGAGUUGGCUGGUGAUGCUGGUGGCUGGUGAAGAAAAAAAGGAGGUGAUCGACGGUGUAAAGUUUACAAGCUAGCUCCGGCCAAUCACUAGGAGAUAUCGACACCCUUUUGUAAACCACCGGCGAGAAUCGACGACUCCGGUAGCUUCUCCCACCGGCGAGAAUCGACGACUCCGGUAGCUUCUCCCACAAGCGUAGGAAAAUGUUGAAAAACCUUUAACAAAAUCGAUUCAAAAUGUUUAAUGUUUUCAGAACACGUUUUCUAAACAUGUUAGAACGUAAUCUUAAGAAUAUAUAUGAUUAGCAUAAUUUCGGGAUUACGUAAA